UACGAACGCUGGCGGCGUGCUUAACACAUGCAAGUCGAACGGAAAGGCCCUGCUUUUGUGGGGUGCUCGAGUGGCGAACGGGUGAGUAACACGUGAGUAACCUGCCCUUGACUUUGGGAUAACUUCAGGAAACUGGGGCUAAUACCGGAUAGGAGCUCCUGCUGCAUGGUGGGGGUUGGAAAGUUUCGGCGGUUGGGGAUGGACUCGCGGCUUAUCAGCUUGUUGGUGGGGUAGUGGCUUACCAAGGCUUUGACGGGUAGCCGGCCUGAGAGGGUGACCGGCCACAUUGGGACUGAGAUACGGCCCAGACUCCUACGGGAGGCAGCAGUGGGGAAUAUUGCACAAUGGGCGGAAGCCUGAUGCAGCAACGCCGCGUGCGGGAUGACGGCCUUCGGGUUGUAAACCGCUUUCGCCUGUGACGAAGCGUGAGUGGCGGUAAUGGGUAAAGAAGCACCGGCUAACUACGUG
rnacentral:rRNA from 1 species